rnacentral:rRNA from 1 species
AUUGAACGCUGGCGGCAGGCCUAACACAUGCAAGUCGAGCGGAUGAAGGGAGCUUGCUCCUGGAUUCAGCGGCGGACGGGUGAGUAAUGCCUAGGAAUCUGCCUGGUAGUGGGGGAUAACGUCCGGAAACGGGCGCUAAUACCGCAUACGUCCUGAGGGAGAAAGUGGGGGAUCUUCGGACCUCGCGCUAUCAGAUGAGCCUAGGUCGGAUUAGCUAGUUGGUGGGGUAAAGGCCUACCAAGGCGACGAUCCGUAACUGGUCUGAGAGGAUGAUCAGUCACACUGGAACUGAGACACGGUCCAGACUCCUACGGGAGGCAGCAGUGGGGAAUAUUGGACAAUGGGCGAAAGCCUGAUCCAGCCAUGCCGCGUGUGUGAAGAAGGUCUUCGGAUUGUAAAGCACUUUAAGUUGGGAGGAAGGGCAGUAAGUUAAUACCUUGCUGUUUUGACGUUACCAAAAGAAUAAGCACCGGCUAACUUCGUG